CUUUUGUAGGUAUUUCUUAUGGCUGAAGGUUCAUCAAGUUUCAGAGGAUACUGGUUCUGUAGGCUAAUGAAUGUAGCGGACGAAGUUAUUUUGUCUAUUCCGGACGACGCUGCGUGCAAAAUAUGGGG